UGGGGAAUUUUGGACAAUGGGCGAAAGCCUGAUCCAGCAAUGCCGCGUGUGUGAAGAAGGCCUUCGGGUUGUAAAGCACUUUUGUCCGGAAAGAAAUCCUUGGCUCUAAUACAGUCGGGGGAUGACGGUACCGGAAGAAUAAGCACCGGCUAACUACGUGCCAGCAGCCGCGGUAAUACGUAGGGUGCAAGCGUUAAUCGGAAUUACUGGGCGUAAAGCGUGCGCAGGCGGUUUGCUAAGACCGAUGUGAAAAUCCCCGGGCUCAACCUGGGAACUGCAUUGGUGACUGGCAGGCUAGAGUAUGGCAGAGGGGGGUAGAAUUCCACGUGUAGCAGUGAAAUGCGUAGAGAUGUGGAGGAAUACCGAUGGCGAAGGCAGCCCCCUGGGCCAAAUACUGACGCUCAUGCACGAAAAGCGUGGGGAGCAAAACAGGAUUAGAUACCCUGGUAGUCCACGCCCUAAAACGAUGUCAACUAGUUGUUGGGGAUUCAUUUCCUUAGUAACGUAGCUAACGCGUGAAGUUGACCGCCUGGGGGAGUACGGUCGCAAAGAUUAAAAACUCAAAAUGAAUUGACGGGGUCAUAGCUGUUUCCU
rnacentral:rRNA from 1 species